AUUGAACGCUGGCGGCAGGCCUAACACAUGCAAGUCGAGCGGACGAAGGGAGCUUGCUCCUGGAUUCAGCGGCGGACGGGUGAGUAAUGCCUAGGAAUCUGCCUGGUAGUGGGGGAUAACGUCCGGAAACGGGCGCUAAUACCGCAUACGUCCUGAGGGAGAAAGUGGGGGAUCUUCGGACCUCACGCUAUCAGAUGAGCCUAGGUCGGAUUAGCUAGUUGGUGGGGUAAAGGCCUACCAAGGCGACGAUCCGUAACUGGUCUGAGAGGAUGAUCAGUCACACUGGAACUGAGACACGGUCCAGACUCCUACGGGAGGCAGCAGUGGGGAAUAUUGGACAAUGGGCGAAAGCCUGAUCCAGCCAUGCCGCGUGUGUGAAGAAGGUCUUCAGAUUGUAAAGCACUUUAAGUUGGGAGGAAGGGCAGUAAGUUAAUACCUUGCUGUUUUGACGUUACCAACAGAAUAAGCACCGGCUAACUUCGUG
rnacentral:rRNA from 1 species